GUGCUCACUUUGGCAGCACAUACACUAAAAUUGGAAUGAUACAGAGAAGAUUAGCAUGGCCCCUGUGCAAGGAUGACAUGCAAAUUUGUGAAGCAUUUCAUAUUUUU
rnacentral:snRNA from 1 species